UGAUCUGGUGGGCAAAAUGACAUGUUGCACAUGCAUUACGUAGAGAUUUUGCAAACAAGGAUCAUUUAGUGACACUGGCAAGAAGAACGUGAUCGUAUUGGUCACAGAGACUCUGUUACAUGGAAAUUUAUAAGAUUUGGGGGGUGCAAUGGAACUGUUUGAUAAAAUGCUUGACAAGGGGUUCUUUCUCUUGGAGUUCCAUGGAUGUCAUGGUUUAUGCCAAAGAAAGAAAGACAUACAAUGGAUUGAAACUCUUUACGGUGAUGCCACAAAAGAAAAAUGUUAUUAGCUGGACUGCCAUAGUUACGGCAAUUCACGGGUUAAAGGAGCAUGGUGCUCGUUCGAGCGAGUGUCCGAGACCAACACAAUUUCAUGGUCUAAAAUCACAUCGGGUUAUAGAAAUGUGGUUAUUAAGUUUAACCGACUCCAUAUUCGUUUACCAGUGCCUUAGUUGCUUUGGCUAAUCUAGCAAUGCUUUUAAGCAAGUCAAAGAGAUUUUUUCUGUCCAAUUCUAUUUUCAAUGACCUUUAAGUCUGGUAGUUUUCCAUCCGCACAGAGCGACAUUGUUACUUGUAGUCUCUGAUUAUCGGUGAGGGGGAGCAUGAUUUUGAGGCAAUUAUGGUUUCCGUCAGAUGCAAAAAGAAUGGUAUACAUUUGAUGAAUGGAAUGGUCUUUUCUGAUAACAUAGUUGGCCAUUCUGGGAAAAUUGUAUACGUUCAGCAGAGUUGGACAAGAGCACUGGCUGGGGACAGCCCAAAAUUGGAUAGCAUCUUCAUUUGCUAUGAGUUCUGUGAGGCUUUGUCCUCACAUAUUGGGCUGAAAGCCCAUUGCACAUUCCAAGAGGAUAUUUCAGUCGAUGAGCUGCUCUACGAGUUACAAUUUACCCUCCUAAUCUAUAAUGGGGCCGGGCUAGAAUUUGUCGAGGAGCGUGUAAAUUGGCAAUCUGGCACAUAGUUAUCAAAAACAAUGGCAGAGCACCAGCCAGCGUUUUCUUCUCUUGAUUGGUUGCUGGCUUGUACAUUUUCAAGCAACUUAUUUUUCAGAUCUGCAAGCAAGGUACACUUGAUUACACAUCGAGCAACGUUGAUGGUGAACGAGUAUCGGUAGAUAUUGGAUUGGUGACAAUGAUGAUUAUAGAGUCUUGUUAUGAAUUAGAAUAGUAACGUUGACGGUGAACGAGUAUCGAUGGAUACUGGAUUGGAGACAAUGAUGAUUAUAGAGUCUUGUUAUGAAUAUGAAUUGUUUGUCAUUCUUUAUGAGUUAUGUACGUAUUUUACUUUUUGCAAACGAAGGCUUUCAUAAUCAAAAAGACUUUUAAGGGCAUUAUAAAC